rnacentral:tRNA from 1 species
AUUUAUAUAGUUUAAUAAAAACAUUAUACUUUCAUUAUAAAAUUAGAGAUAUUCUUAUAAAUA